GAUGAACGCUGGCGGCGUGCCUAAUACAUGCAAGUCGAGCGAACGGACGAGAAGCUUGCUUCUCUGAUGUUAGCGGCGGACGGGUGAGUAACACGUGGAUAACCUACCUAUAAGACUGGGUUAACUUCGGGAAACCGGAGCUAAUACCGGAUAAUAUUUUGAACCGCAUGGUUCAAAAGUGAAAGACGGUCUUGCUGUCACUUAUAGAUGGAUCCGCGCUGCAUUAGCUAGUUGGUAAGGUAACGGCUUACCAAGGCAACGAUGCAUAGCCGACCUGAGAGGGUGAUCGGCCACACGGGAACGGAGACAAGGUCCAGACUCCUAAGGGAGACAGCAGUAGGGAAUCUUCCGCAGUGGGCGAAAGCCUGACGGAGCAACGCCGCGUGAGUGAUGAAGGUCUUCGGAGCGUAAAACUCUGUGAUUAGGGAAUCACAUAUGUGUAAGUAACUGUGCACAUCUUGACGGUUCCUAAUCAGAAAGCCACGGCUAACUACGUG
rnacentral:rRNA from 1 species